rnacentral:lncRNA from 1 species
AACUGUCACGUUCACCUUUCAGGAGGGAAAAAGUAAGGAGUCAAAGAGUGAAAGAGAGAUGGAUUUGGGAGUAAUCUCACCCUCCGAUUGUGUUAUCAACCUCCUGAGAAGGAAAAGCCAUAUUCUUAUUUCUAUCUAGAAGAACACGGAAAUAUCAUUGCUCUGGCCAAGAGUGGCCUUGAGGAGAAUGCUCACCCAGCAAGUAACUAUUUUAGCAGCAACUUGCUUUAUGGUCAUGGAGUGGGGCAAUCAGAAGGAAGUGCCCUCUUUUUUUUGGACGGAGGUACAACAGUGUGGACCCUCACACGAGCAAGCCCAGAAGCGUGUGUGUCCAACAUCUUAACCUUUGAACGUGGGAGGAACACACGGAGCUCACUAAAACUGCAUGCAUGCUUCUGCGGUCUGCAGUGCUAAUAAACAUCUGGAAUCCAGUGGCCAUCACUCUGAGCACCUCUUGGAAUUGCAGAGGCCAAAGUUAACUUGUAUUAAUCUCAUGAUGUUUCAAUAAAUUUAGUAUUAAAUAUUAAUACAAA